rnacentral:rRNA from 1 species
GAUGAACGCUGGCGGCGUGCCUAAUACAUGCAAGUCGAGCGAACAGACGAGGAGCUUGCUCCUCUGACGUUAGCGGCGGACGGGUGAGUAACACGUGGAUAACCUACCUAUAAGACGGGGAUAACUUCGGGAAACCGGAGCUAAUACCGGAUAAUAUAUUGAAACGCAUGGUUCAAGAGUGAAAGACGGUUUUGCUUUAACUUAUAGAUAGAUCCGGGCCGCAUUAGCUAGUUGGUAAGGUAACGGCUUACCAAGGCAACGAUGCGUAGCCGACCUGGGGGGGGAUCCGGCCACAUGGGAACGGGGACCCGGCCCAGCCCCCACCGGGAGGAGGCGGAAGGGAACUUUGCGAAAUGGGGGAAAGCUUACCGUAGCAAGCCCCGGGGAGGGAGGAAGGUUUUCGGACCGUAAAACUCUUUUAUUAGGGAAGAACAAAGGGGUAAGUAACUAUGCACGAAUUGACGGUACCUACUCAGAAAGCCACGGCUAACUACGUG